AUAUAUAUAUAGUUGUUUUUGGCUACAAACUCUUGAUUCCCACACCAUGAUACUUCCACCACCAUGCAUUUUUCACUGGAGUUGCUCUUUUCAGUUAAAAGUGGUGCACUGUUAGUUUUCUGCUACAGUCUUGAUUUGUUUUUAUUUUUACAAAUUAAUAUUUUGGGCUAAAAUUUUAAUUCCCACUGCAUGAUUCUGCCACCACCGUGCUUCACAGUGGAGUCAUUCUAUUCAGCUCAGAAUGGUGCACAUUUAGUUGUUUUUUUUUUUUACAAUAUAUUAUUUAAGUUAACCAUUUUUAAACAUGGCAACUAAUCAGAUUCCCUUAGCAUUAUGUUGCCACCACCAAGUUUUGAAGUAGAGAUUGUGAAUUUGGUGAAUUAACUUUAUUUCAGGGAGGAAGUUGGGGAUUGUUUUAAUUUAAUGUACAAAAACAAAAGAUUAUGCAAUGCAAUACUUUAGGUUUGUCACGUAAAAACUAUAGUUUAAAUUAAAUUUAGUGGUUUUAAAGUGACAAAAAUGGGGAGAAGUUCAAGGAGUAGAAACACUCAAAGUGUUCAGAAAAACGAGGAACCUCCAAUGGGAAUGAGUGAGUAUUGUUUUUAUUUUAAGUACCAGUGAUGUUGGUGAUGAAACGUGAGCAGUUCUUCACUCUCAGGGAAUGAUGCCAUGGACAUUAACCUCCGAUUAACCACCAGCCACAUCAUCACGGAUGCAGACAGGACGCUCUCAGCUCUCCCAGGACUUUCAGGAAGUCCUGCUUCUGAGAAGCUGAGGUUGCUGUCACCAGUCAUUGUAUCUUCCGGUGUUGUCCCUCAAACUUCCAAGUUGUGUUCAGCUCAGUGUUACUCAUUCAUCACCCUCCUCUCCUGGAGUUGACCCUUGACCUCAUCAGUGAACUGCCAUAUAGCUUUAAGACCAUUCUGUGAACAGUGAGGCUGGGAAAACUUUUCUCAGGUCGACCUACAAGUAACUGUGUGAUGAUCGCCAGGCUGAAUCCCUACACUACACUCUUUAACUUUUUCAAUUCUUUGCAUGUCAAGUCAUUUAAGAAUAAAAAAGAAAAGAAAACGCGAGCUGGCCCGCAGGCAGGGUUUGUUUAUAAGCUGUAGUGUUCACACAGAAUUUAUCACCUCCCUCCUUUUCCUGCCUUUUUUUAAGCAUUAAUGUUGUCGUUUCUUGCAAAAGAUUGCUUCUGAUUUGAAAUCUACAAACACUGGCUAACUGUGACACUGUUGAUGCGUUGCAUUUGUUUCUGCAUUUCAAAAAUUGCUUGUAAAUAAAACGAAUGAAAUAAAAACAAAA